AGAGAGAGACAUGCGCGCAUAUCAAUAAGCGGAGGAAAAGAAACUAACUAGGAUUCCCUUCAGUAACGGCGAGUGAAGCGGGAAGAGCUCAAAUUUGAAAUCUUCAAGGUUCUACCUUGACGAAUUGUAGUUUAAAGAAGUGUUUUCUGUUGGAAUUUUGGUAAAAGUUCUUUGGAAAUAGGACAUCAAUAGAGGGUGAGAAUCCCGUAUUUGACCAUUAUUUCCAGCUGUGUGAUACACUUUCAAAGAGUCGGAUUGUUUGGGAAUGCAGUCCAAAAUGGGUGGUAAAUUUCAUCUAAAGCUAAAGUACUGGCGAGAGACCGAUAGCGAACAAGUACCGUGAGGGAAAGAUGAAAAGAACUUUGAAAAGAGAGUUAAACAGUACGUGAAAUUGUCAAAAGGGAAGCGUUUGACACCAGUGUUGUUUUCUCGAAAAUCAAUUCAAAUGAUGCCUGCCUUUGCUAGGUUGUUAUGACUUUAUCAGCAUACUGUCACUAUUUUCUUGUCUUUUUUAAUGCACUUUUCGUUUAACAAGUCAACAUCAAUUUCUUUUGUUGUAAAAGGGUCAUUGGAAGGUGGCUUUCUUUUCGGAGAAAGUGUUUAUAGCCUUUGGCCUCUGCAAUCGGAGAGAUUGAGGUCUGCAGCGUAGAUCCUUCGGGGUUAGAUACAUUUGUGCUAAGUUAUAGCUUUUCAUAGACAACAUGUUGACUAUGAUUAGUCAUGUAGCUUACUCGCUUAUGCUAUUUUACCUACGCUUAGGAUGUUGACAGCAGUAUAGACUGU
rnacentral:rRNA from 1 species